rnacentral:rRNA from 1 species
AACAAGGUGCUGCAUGGCCGUCGUCAGCUCGUGUCGUGAGAUGUUGGGUUAAGUCCCGUAACGAGCGCAACCCCUAUCCCUAGUUGCUAGCAGUUCGGCUGAGAACUCUAGGGAGACUGCCGGUGACAAACCGGAGGAAGGUGGGGAUGACGUCAGGUCAUCAUGGCCCUUACGGCCAGGGCUACACACGUGCUACAAUGGUACGUACAGAGGGCUGCAAACCCGCGAGGGGGAGCCAAUCUCACAAAACGUAUCGUAGUCCGGAUCGCAGUCUGCAACUCGACUGCGUGAAGUCGGAAUCGCUAGUAAUCGCGAAUCAGAAUGUCGCGGUGAAUACGUUCCCGGGCCUUGUACACACC